CUCCGUGACUCCUACGGGAGGCAGCAGUGGGGAAUAUUGCACAAUGGGCGCAAGCCUGAUGCAGCCAUGCCGCGUGUGUGAAGAAGGCCUUCGGGUUGUAAAGCACUUUCAGUCGUGAGGAAGGUAGUGUAGUUAAUAGCUGCAUUAUUUGACGUUAGCGACAGAAGAAGCACCGGCUAACUCCGUGCCAGCAGCCGCGGUAAUACGGAGGGUGCGAGCGUUAAUCGGAAUUACUGGGCGUAAAGCGCAUGCAGGUGGUUUGUUAAGUCAGAUGUGAAAGCCCGGGGCUCAACCUCGGAAUUGCAUUUGAAACUGGCAGACUAGAGUACUGUAGAGGGGGUAGAAUUUCAGGUGUAGCGGUGAAAAUGCGUAGAGAUCUGAAGGAAUACCAGUGGCGAAGGCGGCCCCCUGGACAAAGACUGACGCUCAGAUGCGAAAGCGUGGGGAGCAAACAGGAUUAGAUACCCUGGUAA
rnacentral:rRNA from 1 species